rnacentral:lncRNA from 1 species
CUGGGCAAUUCACCUUUUCUUUAAAUACUCAUGUCACAUUUGUGCUGUUGCCAAUGCUUCUCAGACCCUCCAGAUGAGGACAUUUCCCUGAGGAGGUGGCUAUGAUGGUAGAACUUACAAGACUUCAGUGGACAUAAGUACAAGUAUCACACAAAGACAUUCUGGAGAAUGGCAGAAAAGUGAGCGAAGCCAGAAAAACAACACUUCAAAAGGAAACAAUGCCAAGAAUACGUUAAUCUAAACCCAUGAUGUUUCUACAUCUCAAAGAACAGAGAGAAAAGGAAACUGGAGAGAGGCCAGAAGUGACCAACUCUAUUCCCUCAUUUCUGUGUUAUACUCCCUUUGUCUAAUCUUCCCUACCCUACCAGGUGGUUUAAGAAUUUUAUCCUUUCUCCAGACUAGAAGAGGAAGUGGGGGCCGGAAUUAGGUGUAUACAAAUUGUUGGAAAGCCUUUGUGUGGAUUUGGAGGGCUGAAGUAGAGUAUCAUUUUUACAAAGCAGCCCAAGCCUCUAAUCUGAGCAGGAAGAUUCACACUCAUUCUCUGGCAUGAGUCCUAUCAGGAGGAUCAAUGAAGCCAAGGCUGUAGAAAUAAAUAAUUAAUCUCUCCACCCAAGGAGGCUAGUAAACAAUAUUCAAUACGUGAAUACUGAGUUCUGCCAAGAGGAAGAAGCAUAUAAACCAGGCAACUGCUGAACGCAUUGCCAAAAAGGGAGACUUACGCAUCAUUCACUAAAGCUUUCCAAAAACUAAAUCAGAUCCAAGAACAGAUAAACUCCUGCAGAAUGACAAUGGUGGAGAAAUUGACCUCCCAGCAUUGCAGACUUACAUCAGUUGUUCUGAUGUUCUUAGUUAUAUCAGAUUCCUUCCAGAAUCUUCUAAAUAUAUCAGACGGUCAGACACAACCCCAGGCCCUAAUAAAAAACCCUGAUGCUGGCCU